GCAAUUACAAAGCGAAACUGCGAAUGGCUCAUUAUAUAAGUUAUCGUUUAUUUGAUAGUACCUUACUACAUGGAUAACCGUGGUAAUUCUAGAGCUAAUACAUGCUGAAAAUCCCGACUUCGGAAGGGAUGUAUUUAUUAGAUACAAAACCAAUGCCCUUCGGGGCUCUCUUGGUGAUUCAUGAUAACUUCUCGAAUCGCACGGCCCCGCGCCGGCGAUGGUUCAUUCAAAUUUCUUCCCUAUCAACUUUCGAUGCUACGGUAGUGUCCUAGCAUGGUUGCAACGGGUGACGGAGGGUUAGGGCUCGACCCCGGAGAAGGAGCCUGAGAAACGGCUACUACAUCCAAGGAAGGCAGCAGGCGCGCAAAUUACCCAAUCCCGACUCGGGGAGGUAGUGACGAUAAAUACCAAUACAGGGCUCUUUUGGGUCCUGUAAUUGGAAUGAGUACAAUUCAAAUCCCUUAACGAGGAACAAUUGGAGGGCAAGUCUGGUGCCAGCAGCCGCGGUAAUUCCAGCUCCAAUAGCGUAUAUUAAAGUUGUUGUGGUUAAAAAGCUCGUAGUAGAAGCUCGGGCUCCGGCCGACCGGUCCGCCUCACCGCGUGCACUGGUUCGGCCGGGCCCUCACCUUCUGCGGAACCGCAUCCCCUUCACUGGGGGUGUCGGGGAAACAGGACGUUUACUUUGAAAAAAUUAGAGUGCUCCAGGCAGGCCUAUGCUCGAAUAGAUUAGCAUGGAAUAAUGGAAUAGGACGUGUGGUUCUAUUUCGUUGGUUUCUAGGACCGCCGUAAUGAUUAAUAGGGACAGUCGGGGGCAUCAGUAUUCAAUCGUCAGAGGUGAAAUUCUUGGAUCGAUUGAAGACUAACUACUGCGAAAGCAUUUGCCAAGGAUGUUUUCAUUUAUCAGGAACGAAAGUUAGGGGAUCGAAGACGAUCAGAUACCGUCGUAGUCUUAACCAUAAACUAUGCCGACUAGGGAUCGGACGGUGUUCUUUCUUGACCCGUUCGGCACCUUACGAGAAAUCAAA
rnacentral:rRNA from 1 species